UACGUAGGUGGCAAGCGUUAUCCGGAAUUACUGGGCGUAAAGCGCACGCAGGCGGCGCAUCAAGUUCGACGUGAAAGCUCCCGGCUUAACUGGGAGAGGUCGUUGAAGACUGAUGGGCUUGAGGCAAUGAGAGGGGUGUAGAAUUCCCGGUGUAGUGGUGGAAUGCGUAGAUAUCGGGAGGAAUACCAGUGGCGAAAGCGGCACCCUAGCAUUAGCCUGACGCUCAUGUGCGAAAGCGUGGGGGAGCGAACGGG
rnacentral:rRNA from 1 species